rnacentral:rRNA from 1 species
CCUACGGGUGGCUGCAGUGGGGAAUAUUGGACAAUGGGCGCAAGCCUGAUCCAGCCAUGCCGCGUGGGUGAUGAAGGCCCUAGGGUUGUAAAGCCCUUUCGGCGGGGAAGAUAAUGACGGUACCCGCAGAAGAAGCCCCGGCUAACUUCGUGCCAGCAGCCGCGGUAAUACGAAGGGGGCUAGCGUUGCUCGGAAUCACUGGGCGUAAAGCGCACGUAGGCGGAUUUUUAAGUCAGGGGUGAAAUCCUGGAGCUCAACUCCAGAACUGCCUUUGAUACUGGGAAGCUUGAGUCCGGGAGAGGUGAGUGGAACUGCGAGUGUAGAGGUGAAAUUCGUAGAUAUUCGCAAGAACACCAGUGGCGAAGGCGGCUCACUGGCCCGGUACUGACGCUGAGGUGCGAAAGCGUGGGGAGCAAACAGGAUUAGAUACCCUGUAGUC